GACGAACGCUGGCGGCGUGCCUAAUACAUGCAAGUAGAACGCUGAAGGAGGAGCUUGCUCUUCUGGAUGAGUUGCGAACGGGUGAGUAACGCGUAGGUAACCUGCCUGGUAGCGGGGGAUAACUAUUGGAAACGAUAGCUAAUACCGCAUAACAGUAGAUGUUGCAUGACAUUUACUUAAAAGGUGCAAUUGCAUCACUACCAGAUGGUCCUGCGUUGUAUUAGCUAGUUGGUGGUGUAACGGCUCACCAAGGCGACGAUACAUAGCCGACCUGAGAGGGUGAUCGGCCACACUGGGACUGGGACACGGCCCAGACUUCUACGGGAGGGAGCAGUAGGGGAUCUUCGGCAAUAGACGGAAGGCUGAACGAGCAACGCCGCGUGAGUGAAGAAGGUUCUCGGAUCGUAAAGCUCUGUUGUAAGAGGAGAAAGAGUGUGAGAGUGGAAAGUUCACACUGUGACGGUAUCUUACCAGAAAGGGACGGCUAACUACGUG
rnacentral:rRNA from 1 species